rnacentral:rRNA from 1 species
GCCCUACGGGGUGCAGCAGGCGCGAAACCUCUGCAAUAGGCGAAAGCUUGACAGGGUUACUCUGAGUGAUUUCCGUUAAGGAGAUCUUUUGGCACCUCUAAAAAUGUGCAG